CACUGCUGAUGACGCGGAGGGA
rnacentral:rRNA from 1 species